GUGCCAGCAGCCGCGGUAAGACAGAGGGUGCAAACGUUGUUCGGAAUCACUGGGCGUAAAGCGCGUGUAGGCGGCUGCGCAAGUCGGGCGUGAAAUCCCGUGGCUCAACCACGGAAGUGCACCCGAAACUGCGUAGCUGGAGUCUCGGAGAGGAAGGCGGAAUGCUUGGUGUAGAGGUGAAAUUCGUAGAUAUCAAGCGGAACACCGGUGGCGAAGGCGGCCUUCUGGACGAUGACUGACGCUGAGACGCGAAAGCGUGGGGAGCAAACAGGAUUAGAUACCCGGGUAGUCC
rnacentral:rRNA from 1 species